rnacentral:rRNA from 1 species
GAUGAACGCUGGCGGCGUGCUUAACACAUGCAAGUCGAACGAAGCACUUUAUUUGAUUUCCUUCGGGACUGAUUAUUUUGUGACUGAGUGGCGGACGGGUGAGUAACGCGUGGGUAACCUGCCUUGUACAGGGGGAUAACAGUUGGAAACGGCUGCUCAUACCGCAUAAGCGCACAGCAUCGCAUGAUGCAGUGUGAAAAACUCCGGUGGUAUAAGAUGGACCCGCGUUGGAUUAGCUAGUUGGUGAGGUAACGGCCCACCAAGGCGACGAUCCAUAGCCGACCUGAGAGGGUGACCGGCCACAUUGGGACUGAGACACGGCCCAAACUCCUACGGGAGGCAGCAGUGGGGAAUAUUGCACAAUGGGCGAAAGCCUGAUGCAGCGACGCCGCGUGAGCGAAGAAGUAUUUCGGUAUGUAAAGCUCUAUCAGCAGGGAAGAUAAUGACGGUACCUGACGAAGAAGCACCGGCUAAAUACGUG